rnacentral:rRNA from 1 species
CUCGUAGGCGGCCGACUAAGUCAGACGUGAAAUCCCCCGGCUUAACCGGGGAACUGCGUCUGAUACUGGAUGGCUUGAAUUCGGGAGAGGGAUGCGGAAUUCCAGGUGUAGCGGUGAAAUGCGUAGAUAUCUGGAGGAACACCGGUGGCGAAGGCGGCAUCCUGGACCGACAUUGACGCUGAGGAGCGAAAGCCAGGGGAGCAAACG